CAGAGAGUAGUUUAAGUAAAAUAUUAGUUUUGGGGACUGAGGAAGGGGUGUAUACUUUCUCUUUGA
rnacentral:tRNA from 1 species